GCUUAACACAUGCAAGUCGAGCGAGAAUCGUUUUGCUGAAGGCUUCGGUCCGAUGCAGAAUGAGGAAAGCGGCGAACGGGUGAGUAACGCGUGGGCAACCUGGCCUUAAGAAAAGGAUAGCCCCGGGAAACGGGGAGUAAUACUUUACGAGAAUAGAAAAGGGCAUCCUGUUUCUAUUCAAAGCGCAAGCGCUUAAGGAUGGGCCCGCGUAUCAUUAGCUAGUUGGUGAGAUAACAGCCCACCAAGGCAACGAUGAUUAGCCGGUCUGAGAGGGCGAACGGCCACAUUGGAACUGAGAGACGGUCCAAACUCCUACGGGAGGCAGCAGUGGGGAAUAUUGCGCAAUGGAGAAGAACUCUGACGCAGCAAUACCGCGUGAGCGAAGAAGGUCUUCGGAUCGUAAAGCUCUGUUAUCAGGGAAGAAGAAAAUGACGGUACCUGAUGAGCAAGUCCCGGCUAACUACGUGCCAGCAGCCGCAGUAACAC
rnacentral:rRNA from 1 species